CCUACGGGAGGCUGCAGUGGGGGAUAUUGCACAAUGGGGGGAACCCUGAUGCAGCGACGCCGCGUGAGUGAAGAAGUAAUUCGUUAUGUAAAGCUCUAUCAGCAGGGAAGAAUAAAUGACGGUACCUGAGUAAGAAGCCCCUGCUAACUACGUGCCAGGAGCCUCGGUAAUAAGUAGGGGGCAGGCGUUAUCCGGAUUUACUGGGGGUAAAGGGAGCGUAGACGGGGAUGCAAGCCAAAUGCGAAAGCGUGCGGCUCAACUGCGGUAGUGCAUUUGGAACUGUAUGGCUGGAGUGCAGGAGAGGCAGGCGGAAUUCGUGGUGUAGCGGUGAAAUGCGUAGAGAUUAGGAGGAACACCAGUGGCGAAGGCGGCAUGCUGGACUGUAACUGACGUUGAGGCUCGAAAGCGUGGGGAGCAAACAGGAUUAGAUACCCGGGUAGUC
rnacentral:rRNA from 1 species